rnacentral:lncRNA from 1 species
GCGAAACAGAAAAUAGGAAUUUUUAAAGACAUUUCAAUAAAACAAGCUUUUAAACAUCGAAUGGAUAUGGUGGUGAGGGGGGGGGAUUCCACCAGAAUAAAAUAGUAAUCAAAGGAGUCCAUAGAUAAAAAGUGGUUGAGAAGCCCUGCUCUAGGCUAAGCCUCGAAGAUUUACUGUGUGCUCUGGAAGCGAAAGGUUAUAAUCUUUCAUAAUCCAAGUUUCAUCCCAGAGGAAUAUUAUCUACGCUAAACUUACUGCGUUUUCGUAAAAACCGAAGAACAAAGAAAAAUAAGAAAGGGAAAGAGAAAGAGACGAUAAAGGAGAGAAAGAGAAGUGACUGACAUGGAACUUCAAUCUUCCAUCUUUAGUUUGUUCCAGUCGUUGGACUGCGGCCAUUCUGGGGCCUUGAAGAAUAUUUAGUCGAAUGAAUUGACCCUAGUACUUAAUUUUCUUUAAAGCCUGGUACUUACUUUAUCGGCAACUAUUGCUGAACCGCUAGUUUGCAGGACGAAAACAUAUCAACAUCGGUUGUCAAGCGGUGGCGGGGGGGGGGACAAACACACACACACAUACACAUACACACACGUGGUGCGAUGGGUAAAUUGUCACCAUUUUAUAUUUUUAAUUUCACGCAGGUGCAUUGUUUUUGAUUUUGUCGACUACACAGUAUAGUAGGGUCAGUCGGGAACCGUCUGAGAAUAACACAUCACCAUGAUGCAAUUCACUCAGCCAGAAAUUUGGAAACGACAUGCUGUACUGCUUGGCAUUCGCGCCGGAAGCCCUAAUACAAACAUUUCAAAAUGUUUGGGUGUCAAUCUGAGGACAUGUACGGAGAGUGAUAAAAAUUAAACAUCCAUUCAACAUCAUGGUGUUUAGAGUGAUCGCUAGUGAUGGCGAUGUUAUGCCUCCAUUCGUCUUCCCACACGGUCUCAGACUCAACACAGGCCUACAUCAAGUGCCUAGAGAAAGUAAUGCUACCCUGAGUCAAGAGGGUGGCUGCUGAAAUACCCUAUGUCUACCAGUAGGACUCUGCACCGAGACACUCAAGCUGAAAAACCCAGUCAUGGCUGUCAGACAAUUUCUGCGACCACAUCACCCUUAACAUUUGGCCACAUAACUCCCCAGACUGCAACCUUCUUGAUUAUUAUGUGUGAGGUACAAUUGAGCGAGAGACCAACAAAACUCCUUGUAACACCAAAGAUGAACUAAAAGCAAGGAUUAUGGCGGCAUUCCCCAACUUAAACAAGGAGACCGUCCAGAAGAGUUGCAGGAGAUUUGGAAGUCGUCUGGAGGCCGUGGUUGAAGCCAAUGGCGAUUUUAUUGAAUAAAGUUACUCUUUAGUAUUUCAAGAUAUUUUUAUGUAAUUUUUGUAAAUAAAUCUGUUAAAAUGAGAAGAGAGUGAUAUUUUUAUUUUGCGUAAUUUAGACGACAAUUUAUUCACCGCACCCUGUGUAUGUGUAUAUAUACAUACAUAAAUACAUAAAAACACACACACGCGCACACACACACACACACACACACACACAUAUAUAUAACGGCGUUCUUUCAGUUUCCAUCUACCAAAUCUACCCACAAGGCCUUGGUCGGCCCGAGGCUAUAGUAGAAGGCAUCAGUACCACGCAAUGGGACUGAACCCGGAAGCAUGUGGUUGGGAAGCAAACUUCUUUCCACACAGCCACGUUUGCACUACGGAUGUGAAAUGAUAUGAAAACACUUUGUUUCUAUGGAACUUUUAUCUUUUACUUGUUUCGAUCAUUGGAUUGCAGCCAUGCUGGGUUGUCGCCUUAAAUGGUUUAGUCAAACAAACUGACCCCAGUGAUCCUUUAUAAAAAUUCAGUAGUUAUUCUAAAGGCCUUCUGUUCUUUUUACCUAACUGCCAAAUCACAGGGACGUAAACAAACCAACAUCAGUUGUUAAGCAGUGGUGGUGGUGAGGGACGAACAAAGACACACAUAUACACAUUCGGUGGGCUUGUUUCAGUUUCCGUCCACCAAAUCCACUCUCAGUGCUUUGGUCGGCCCACAGCUAUAGUAGAAGACACUUGCCGAAGGUUCCACGCAGUGGGACUGAACCCGGAAUCAUGUUGUUGGGAAGCAAGCUUCUUACCGCACACGAAGGUCUUCUUUCAGUUUCCGUGUGCCAAAUCCACUGACAAGGCCUUGGUCAGUUUGAGGCGAUUGUAGAAGACAUCUGAGCCAGAUGCUGUGCAAUGGGACUGAAUCCAAGACCUGAUGGGGUCGGGAAGGGAGCCCCCCUGACCCCCACAACAACGCCUCAUUACAUUCUUUUAUACUCCUUCUUCUUCAUCUUUCAAAUGACAUCAGUUCCUUGAAGGUCAGCUGGUUUCGUGUCUCCAUCCUUCAGCCACUCCCCCGACCCACUCAUCUCCCCCACCCCAUUUUGUCUGCCUUAUUCUGUCUACAUUUCUAUGUCCAGUUCUUCUUUCACCUGAUGACUAGCCUUCUGUCUUCCCUGCAGGUGUUGACGCAUUCAAAGGUGGUGGCCACUGACCUUCCUCCAAACUCAGCCACUUAAAAAUGCCGAAAGAAUGAUGCACAAAAGUGUUACGCUUUCUCUUGAGAGCAUCUUUGACACCAGAGAAUUUACCCUUGGGAAAUGAAUGAACACCACACAUUCAUUAAACCUUUUAGCAUUUCUCUUUUCUUCUAGUUUCAGUCAUUAGAUUGCGGCCAUUCUGGGGCACCACCUUGAAGAGUUUUUGACAGGAAAGAUCGACCCAAGUACUUCUUACUCUUUUUGUUUGUUUAGGUCUGACACUUAUUAUUCGAUCAGGCUCCUUUGGUGAACCGCUAAGUUACGGAGAUGUAAACACGCCAACACAGGCAGUUAGGUGGUGGCGGCAGACAAACAAACGCACACGCAGACACUUGUGUGUGUGUGUGUGAGAGAGAGAGAGAAAGUGAGAGAAAGAGAGAGAGAGAAACAGAAAGAGAGAGCGUGUGUGUGACUGUGAAGUUUGCUUCGUGACCCCGUGGUUUUGAGUUCGAACCCACUGCACGGCACCUAGAGCACGUGUCUUCAACUAUAGUCCCGGCCAAACAAUACCUUGAGAACGAAUUUCAUAGAAAAACAGUGUAUAUGUUUGUGGUGUGUGUGUGUGAGUGUGUGUGAGUGUGUGUGUGUGUGUGUGUGUGUGUGUGUGUGUGUGUGUGUGUGUGUGUGUGUGUGUAUACAUCAUUAAUGACUCUUGAAAGGUAGAAAGAAAAAUGUUCUUCUCGCUGUGAUUCGAACUUAGAAUGUGAGAUAUACAGGGACAGCUAAAGUCGCCAAAACCUUUGUUACUCUGCCUCUUCUUGCCGAUCCUCCCCUUUCGCAUCUCAUCAAUGGCUGUUAAAAGUGUAUCUUUGGAGGACCAUCUUGUAAAUAAAAACACAGGCACCGAUUCUGUUUCAUUUGUUUCUUCUACUAGCCUUCUACCUAACUAAUUAAACAAUCAACUAAUCUAUUGCCUGAUUAAUCCUUCGGUCAUCAAUCAGUUGGUUCGUCCGAGUGUCCUGUCCUUUGCCUGUCACGCUAUAUCGAAGUUUGGACACAUCGUGACAGAACUGGAAUCACGAGAACACACCCUUGAUGAGUCCGCAAAGGCUAACGAAACGACUCGGACAAACUGUUCGGUUGAUUGAGCGAACGAUUAAUCAAACAAUCGAUUAGAUAACUGAUUAAUUAUUCAACUAGUUGACUAAUCCAUUGUUGGUUUAUCAGACAGCUGUCUAUUCAAGACCACCUGGAUAGAUUGCACAAUUAAUCCAUCCCGCAGUUAGACGGGUGGCUGGCAAUUCAAGGCCACCCAGAUAGAUUGCACAAUUAAUCCAUCCCGCAGUUAGUCGGGUGGCUGGCAAUUCAAGGCCACCCAGAUAAAUUGCACAAUUAAUCCAUCCCGCAGUUAGUCGGGUGGCUGGCAAUUCAAGGCCACCCAGAUAAAUUGCACAAUUAAUCCAUCCCGCAGUUAGUCGGGUGGCUGGCAAUUCAAGGCCACCCAGAUAGAUUGCACAAUUAAUCCAUCCCCCAGUUAGUCGGGUGGCUGGCAAUUCAAGGCCACCCAGAUAAAUUGCACAAUUAAUCCAUCCCGCGGUUAAUCGGGUGGCUGGCAAUUCAAGGCCACCCGGAUAAAUAGCGCAAUUAACCCGUCGUUUCCCCCAUUCCGUUCCCUGUGCUCGCCACCCUUAAAUGUAUCAAAGUGUGAAACGGUGUAACACCCCACCCCACUCCCAUCAAUAUGGGUUUGUUACCUUUGUUGUUGUUAUUGUUCUCAUUCUUCUUCUUUAAUCUGAAUAAUUCACCUUCGUUGUUAUCGGAAAGGCUUCGUUUCAUGUAAUCGAAACCAAAGAUUUCUAUCAUGCGUACACACACGCACACACACACACACACACACACACACACACACACACACACACACACACACACACACACACACACACACACACACACACACACACACACACACACACACACACACACACACACACACACACACACACACACACACACACACACACACACACACACAAUGGUUCAAAUUUACAGAAAACAAAAAGGCGAAGACAUGCGAGUGAACUACAAACAGGUAUAUUAGUUUGACAGAUAUAUAUAUAUAUAUAUAUAUGAUAUAAAUAUACGUGCAUACACACACACACACACACACACAUCCACACAUAUAUAUGUAUAUAUUAUAUAUAUUUAUAUAUAUAUACAUACAUGGAGGCGCAAUGGCCUAGUGGUUAGGGCAGCGGACUUGCGGUCGGAGGAUCGCGGUUUCGAUUCCCAGACCGGGCGUUGUGUGUGUUUAUUGAGCGAAAAAAACACCUAAAAGCUCCACGAGGCUCCGGCAGGAGGUGGUGAUCCCUACUGUACUCUUUCACCACUCUAAAGGCGAUGCUCCAGCAUGGCCGCAGUCAAAUGACUGAAACAAGUACAAAAAAAAAAAAAAAAAAAUACGUAUGCACACACGCACACACAUACAAUAUAUACUUAAACGCAUGAACGUAUGUAUGUCUCUAUGUGUGUAUACAUAUGUACACGCAUAUACUUGUACAUACACACACACAAGCACACACACACAGGCACACACACACACACUCGUUUGCUUGUAUAUAUAUGUGUGUAAGUGCGCUUGUGAAAUUUGCUUCGUAACUGCACGGUUUCUGGUUCAGGCCCACUGCGCGACAAAUAUCUUCUACUAUAACCCUGGGCCGAACAAUAUCUUGAGAACAAAUUUGGUCGAAAGAAACCGUGUGUGUGUGUGUGUAUGUGUGUGUGUGUGUGUGUGUGUGUGUGUGGACGCAUCAUUGUUGGUGUUUGUCUCCUUUCCCAAUCUAACAAUCGAUGAUGUAGGCUUCUUUAAGUCUCCAUGACUUAGCGGUUCGGCAAAAAAAGAGCAACACAAACCGUACCGGAUUUACAAUAAAUAAUGGAUGUCCAUUUGCUCAACUAAACGCUCUGCAAAAGGUAGUGCCCCAGAAUGGCCGCUGACCAGUGUCUGAAACAAGUAAAUGAAUAAAGAGAGAGAGAGAGAGAGAGAGAGAGAGAGAGAGAGAGAGACAGAGACAGACAGAGAGAGAGAGAGAGAGAGAGUGAGAGCCAGAGAGACUUAUGGUAUGCACGUGUUAUUUUCGCUCUCCUCUUUUCCCGUACAUCUCUCUCUCUCUCUCUCUACAUUCUCUCUCUCUCUCUUUCUCUCUUUUACUAUUUCUCUGUUUUAUUCUCUCUCCCUACAUCUCUCUAUCUGUCUAUUUCUGUCCCUUCUCUCUCUACAUUCUCUCUCUCUCUCCUCCGUAUCACUAUCUCUCUUCUCCUCUCUUCUUACUCUCUCUCUCUCUCUCUCUCUCUCUCUCUGUUCCCAUACAUCUCUCUUUUUCUCUAUUUCUCUCUCAUUAUCUCUGUUUCAUACAUCUUUCUAUUUGUCUAUAUCCAUUCUCUCCCUCUCUCUCUCUCUCUCUCUCUCCCUCUCUCUCUCUCAACUACUCUCCUUUUACGCUCUUCCUCUCCCCGCCGCGUCUCUAUGUACGUGUGUCCGCCACAACAAGCCGCGCGAAAGCUUUCUCCUCGCUAAGCCAGAGAAGCUCUCGCAAGCACCAGUGGCGGUAGUAGCAAUGACAGCGGUGGUAGCGGUAGUAGUAGUAAUACCUGUCGUAGUAGCAGCAAUAUUAUCACAAGCAACUGACCAAUCAGCCUCGAGCUUGGCACAUAUCCGUCCCGCUUUUUCCAACCAUUUAUGGACAAAAGCGGUGGGCGUGACUUAACUGCGCAUCUUCGCCAUUGUCGCCAUUAAAUUCGACGACGUAUCUAUUUGAUCAUAGAUUCAUUGAUCGAUCGAUUGAUUGCUUGCUAUUAGCCCAAAGUCAGCGCUACCAGAGUAGCCCUAUGAUCAAAGGCUUUCCAACCAUGACGAUGCUGUCCUAUUUUGGGGGUGCUAUCGUAUGAAAAGGAGAAUUAGUAGCAGAGUCGAGUGGUCGUAUGUGGAUUGGUAAGUUCUCGGUUCGAUCUUACAACCUGGAUAUAUAUAUUUCAUAUGCUUGGGUGUAGGCGUAAAAGUGUGGUUCCAAAAAUUCCCUUAGUACCCAUAUGGCUCCUGGUUCAAUCCCUCGGUGCAACCCCCUGGGCAAGUGUUUUCUAUCAGCUUUAAUUUGAAUAAUACCUUGCGAAGAGGAUAUCUCGGGAGGUAGAGACUGUGCAGAAGCCUUUCGCGUGUGUGUAGAUGUCUUUAUCUUUGAUGUUUUUCAGUCAUUAGACUGCGGCCAUGCUGGGGUACUGCCUUGACGAAUUUUAGUUGAACGACAUAUCCACACACAUACAUACAUGUACAAACAUACAUACAUAUAUACAUACAUAUAUAUAUAUAUAUAUAAAUAUGAUAUAUAUAUACGCAGGAAUGAUUGGUUAAGAAGCUAUCUCUUCUCUUCCCCCUCUCCCUCUCUCUCCCCCUUCUCUCUCUCUCUCUCUUUCGAGAUAUGUUUUUGUAUUUGUCCCUUCCCACUGUUUGAAAACCGGUGUUUUUACCUCAUCGUAACUUAGCGGAUCGGCAAAACAAUUCGAUAGAGUAUGCAGCAGACUUAGAAAUAAGUACCGGUGUUAAUUUGUUCGACUAAACCCUUCAAGACAGUGCCCCAGCAUGGCCGCAGUCCAAUGAGUAAAACAAGUGAAUGUUAAGCUAUAUAAAUGUGUGUGUGUGUGUGUUUGUGUGUGUGUGUGUGUGUGUGUGUGUGUGUGUGUGUGUGUGUGUGUGUGUGUGUGUGUGUGUGUGUGUAGGUAUAAUCGCAUAUACGCGUGUUAACAAUCGGUUAUUGUGAUCGGAAAGGCUUCGGUCUCAGUACUUGACUGUCGCUUUAACUGAUCGGCACGAAAAGGAUGAAAAGUAAAGUUGACUUCAGAGGGGUUUGAACUCAGAAUGUAAAGAGCCGGAAGAAAUGCUGCUAAACAUUUUUUCCGGCUUGCUAACGGUUCUGUAAGUAUGGAAGCCUAAUACAAACUGUUUUAGAUCAUAAACUUUAGUAAUUCUCUUUACUCUCUUUACUCUUUACUCUUUUACUUGUCUCAGUCAUUUGACUGCGGCCAUGCUGGAGCACCACCUUUAAUCGAGCAACUCGACCCAGGGACUUAUUGUUUUUGUAAGCCCAGUACUUAUUCUAUCGGUCUCUUUUGCCGAACCGCUAGGUGACGGGGACGUAAACACACCAGCAUCGGUUGUCAAGCAAUGCUAGGGGAACAAACACAGACACACAAACACACACACAUACAUAUAUAUAUAUAUAUAUACAUAUAUACGACAGGCUUCUUUCAGUUUCCGUCUACCAAAUCCAAUCACAAGGCAUUGGUCGGCCCGGGGCUAUAGCAGAAGACACUUGCCCAAGGUGCCACGCAGUGGGACUGAACCCGGAACCAUGUGGUUGGUAAACAAGCUACUUACCACACAUCCACUCCUGCGCCUAAUUGUUUUCUUUUUUUUAUGCUUUCUUACAAAUAUACCUUGUGGUAUUUGUUGCGCCCAAGAUACUCUUAUCAAUGAAUUCCUCAUCCGAUAUAGAGCAACACGUGAUCGUUCUGUUGGAACCUGGCAACCAACGACGCUUUUAUUCACAAACUGCUAUACAUGUAUCCGCGUUUAUUUCCGAUCCAUUCCUCAUUGAUCCAGGAUAACACGGUACGCUCAGUUAUGAACCAUAUUACGUUUAUCACGUUUUAAGGCGGCGAGCUGGCAGACACGUUAGCGCGCCGGGCGGAAUGUUUAGCGGUAUUUCGUCUGUCGUUACGUUCUGGGUUCAAAUUCCGCCGAGGUCGACUUUGCCUUUCAUCCUUUCGGGGUCGAUAAAUUAAGUACCAGUUACCCACUGGGGUCGAUGUAAUCGACUUAAUUCGUUUGUCUGUCCUUGUUUGUCCCCUCUAUGUUUAGCCCCUUGUGGGUAGUAAAGAAAUAUAUUACUUUUAUCACGGAUUGAUUUGUGAUAACACGGGGCGGCGAUCAGUCGCAGAUUCUACUUGUACCACAAAAAGGGUGGGGGGGGGGGGGGCGACUCAGUGACCCCUUACAACGCUCAGUUACAUUGAUUAUCCCUCGUGUUUCCAUGACCACCAGCAAGAUGACAAAAUGUUUUUGUAUGACUUUACGUUCACGAAUCCAUCAACAUGAAACCCGUGAAUAGAAAAAACACAAACAAGCUUGAACCUUACAAACGGCGCCGACGUGUGCAUUCUCUACAGCACUUGGUCCUCAAUUGGGGUCUAUAUGGCCCUUACAGGUCCUUAUCUAGGCGCGAGCGUAGCUGUGUGGUAAGAAGCUUGCUUCCCUACCAUAUGGUUCUGGGUACAGUCCCACGGUGUGGCACCUUGGGCAAGUGACUAAAGCCUUGUGAGUGGACUUGGUAGACGGAAACUGAAAGAAGCCCCUUUGCAUAUAUAUAUGUGUGUAUAUGUUCCCCCUACCACCGUUUGAUAACCGGUGCUGGUGUGUUUAUGUUCACUCAACUUAGCGGUUCUGCAAAAGAGUCCAAUAGAAUAAGUUCCAGAUUUGAAAAAAAAACAAGCACUGCGGUCGUCGAUACAUUCUUGAAGGUAGUGCCCCAGCAUAGCCGCGCCCUAAUGGCUUAAACAAGAAAAGCUAAAAGAUAAUUCCUAACAAUAUAUAAUUCUAAUAGGAUAAUAUGACCCUUUUAAACAUAGCUAAAAGGGUCCAUGGGAGUAAAGCAGGAACCAAAGGGUUCCAUGGAGGAACAAAAUGGUUGAGAAUCUCUUCUGCUUUUAUAGGAAAAGGUAGAAAUCAGGAGAAUUUUGUGAGAGAGAGCGUUUUGCUGAUGAGGGGCAGGAGUUUGGUGCCAAUGAAUCGAGCGUUUCUGCCUGUUACAAAAUGCGUAAAGAUGAUUCAUUUAUCACUUGCGUUUUAUAUUUUCGAAACACUUUAUGGAACCAAACACCGUGAUAAACGAGGACAGCUGUGUGUUAUUUCAUUCUCAUAUUCUUUGGUUUCGUCACUGGACUCUGCGGCCUUCAAAAGUUUCACUCGAACAAAUCACCGCACGGCGUCUCUUCUUUAAAGGGUCUGCUACUUUUUGUUUCGUUGCCCGAGCAUAGACACACACACACACACACACACACACACACACACACACACACACACGCACACGCACGCACACACACACACACACACACACACACACAUUUGUAUCCAUUAAUUCCUUUUAUCAUAAACUAAAAAAUUUCAGGUUUUGGUUAAUGAAAGUUUACCGGAUGAUUCUUAUAUUUAUUGGCAAUAUUUUACAUACAUCGUAAAGAAUAAUCUUAUUAUUAUUAUUAAGGCGGCACUCUGCUAGAAUCGUUAGAACGUUGGGCAAAAUUGGUUACUGUCCUUUCGUCUGUCUGUAUGUUCUGAGUUCAAAUCCCGCCUAGGUCGACUUUGCCUUUCAUCCUUUCGGGGUUGAUAAAAUAAGUACUAGCUAUACGCUGGGGUCGAUGUAAUCGACUUAACCCCUUCUCCGAACUUGUAGGCCUUGUGCCAAAAUCUGAAAUCAAUAUCUUGCAUAUAUUCACUAUUCAAAACGGCUCCCGUUCGUUUUCCUUGUCGCCCCUUAAGCCUUUCUAUCUGCCAUUGUCACUUCACAAUUCUUUAUACCAGACAUUUUCCAAGCUUCUCUUUUGUUCACAUUUUGUUUGAGUCGCUUUUAUUUAGUUUGGGGCUGAAGAAUAAAACAAAAGACAGUUUGAAUGCGUUAUAAACAUUUGCAACUAUUUUUGUGAAUAAGAAUUUUUCAGUUUAUAUUUGAAUAAAUAAGGGCUAAAUACAGGGGCCACACUAUGUACACACAAUCGCAUAUGCAGACGUGACUGUGUUGCUGGGAUUUUGCUUCCAAACCACAAGGUUCGAUGCUCAGUCCGACUGCGCGGCACCUUGGCCAAGUACCAUCUAUUAUAGUACCCGGAUGACCAAAGCUUUGUGAGUGGAUUUGGUCGAAGGAAACUGAAAAGAAACCCUUCGUACUAGUAUGUACGUCAUUAUUCAGUUGUCUUUCAAAAUGUCUUGCCAAUAGAGAAAGAUCCGGUUUCUAACCUAGACCCAAGGCUCCGUUAUUGGAAUUUCAACAACAGUAUUUUUGUAUGCGUGUAUACAUGCGUAUAAUAGUAUUUUUGUAUGCGUGUAUACAUGCGUAUAAUAGUAUUUUUGUAUGCGUGUAUACAUGCGUAUAAUAGUAUUUUUGUAUGCGUGUAUACAUGCGUAUAAUAGUAUUUUUGUAUGCGUGUAUACAUGCGUAUAAUAGUAUUUUUGUAUGCGUGUAUACAUGCGUAUAAUAGUAUUUUUGUAUGCGUGUAUACAUGCGUAUAAUAGUAUUUUUGUAUGCGUGUAUACAUGCGUAUAAUAGUAUUUUUGUAUGCGUGUAUACAUGCGUAUAAUAGUAUUUUUGUAUGCGUGUAUACAUGCGUAUAAUAGUAUUUUUGUAUGCGUGUAUACAUGCGUAUAAUAGUAUUUUUGUAUGCGUGUAUACAUGCGUAUAAUAGUAAUUUUGUGCAGAUUUGCUUCUUUUGUUUUAUGUAUGUCUUCUGAUGGAUAAAGCUGCAUCUCUAGACCUGCUCAUCUAUAUUGAAAUGAUAAACAUACUGCAUGUCUGUAUGUAUAUAUGAUCGUGUAUCUUUGUGUUUGACCCCUCUCUCUCUAUAUAUAUAUAUAUAUACACACAUACAUAAGAUGCACGGCUCAGUGGUUAGAGCGUCGAGUUUACGAUCGUCAGGUUGUGAGUUCGAUUCCCAGUCCGGGCUGCGAGUUGUAUACUUAAGCAAGACACUUUAUUUUAUGUUGCUCUAAUUUACUCAGCUGUUGAAAUGAGUUGCAACAUCGCUGGUGCCGAACUGUAUCAGCCUUUGCCUUUCUCUUGGAUAACAUCGGGGGGAUGCAGAGGGGAGGCUGGUAUGUAUGGGCGACUGCUGGUCUUCCAUAAAAACAACCCUCGCCGGUGAGGCGAAUUUCCACCCAGACUUGUACCCCAGAGGGGAACCUCUUAGAUUCACCCAUAGUCAUUCGUGACCGACGGAGCCGAGUUAUAUAGGAAAAGAGCUGACAAGGGAAUAAAGGAUUAUCUUAUCAACCUCACUGGCUUGCAGCUGUUUCUGCUGAGUUGAGUGCCUGAGCAAAACCUUACAGUUUCAUCAGAACUUCAAACAUAAAUGUAUUUCUUUUCCCAAAUAAAUUGCACUCCAUGUUCGAGGCUCUGACGAGGCUCUAAAGUGAUACUCAGGCACUCAACUGUGAGUUCACCGCAUCUUAUCGUGGAAACAACUGUAAGCUGUUGAAGUUUCAUAAGAUAACCGUUUAUUCCUUUGUCCUUUAAUUUUUCUUAUGACCGCGCUCUGUAUUCGACUAACGCUUUCGUUCGGAGGCAUACGUAUAUUGAGGCAUACGUAUAUUGAGGCAUACGUAUAUUGAGGCAUACGUAUAUUGAGAGCUACCACCAGAUAAUUAGUCCUUACAAUGCCGAAGCGAAGUAUCUAUACACAUUUACAGGCAAAUCGAAAGUAAAAACAAAACAGCAGAAGUCAACAGGAUGUUCCCAAUGAAUGAAUUGGGUUGAUGCUUAGAGUAAGAUGGAGAAAAGAGUGGGGUGUGUAACGUUUCGAGCAUGGCUCUUCGUCAGAAACAGGGGAAAAGAGGAAAGAUCCGGAGAGAAGGAAAAAACAAAGCACAAGAAAAGUACGUGUGUGACCAUCACCAUCAAUACCGGCAUCACACCAUCCAAACAUAUACAGCGUAUCACUAGAUAACACACUUACCACCCACACACACACACACGUACCACCACCACCACCACCAGUACCAACUUCACGACUACCAUCACCACUACUAGAACCGGUUAUCACCACGACCGCAGCACCGAACUAGCACCACAUAUCGCCAACGCCUCCCCCACAUAUAUACACCACCACCGCCACCAUCACCAGCAUCAUUACCAACAAUAACAACAACAAUGCCAUCACCACCUCCACCACCACCACCACAUCUACAAGUAAAGCCUCACACAAGCAAACUUAAUACCACACACCGCCACCCCCACCGCCACAACCACCACCACCACCGCCACCACCACCACCACCACCGCCACCAUCACCACUACCGCCACCGCCACCACCGCCACCAUCACCACUACCGCCACCGCCACCACCGCCACCACCGCCACCACCGCCACCACCACCAUCACUACCGCCACCACCAUUACUAACUCCAGACAACGACAACACUAAUACUUACACCAUAACACCAACGCACCACCGCCACCACCGGCACCGCCCCCGCCACCACCGCCGGCACCGCCCCCCGCCACCGCUCCUGUCUGUAAAGUCCCAGUUUCGAUUCUCAAGCAGAGUUUGUUGUUGAGUUGUAGUUGAGAAGUCGUUAUCAGCGUCUAAUGAGUCUAACAGACAUUGAUAAAGAUCAGUGGAUAAGAGGGUGAGAUGAAAAUGCGAUAACAACGGAGGACGGGUGGGGGUGGGGGAUGGGGGUGGGGGGUGGUUGUGAGAUAAGAAGCGAGAUGAUAGCGAGGUGCAUGUGUGGUGGUGGUGGUGGUGGUGGUGGUAGCGACGGAGAUGAUAAACAUCUGAUAACAGAGCGAGGUUUACUGUGGCGUAACGAGUAUGUAUACACACGCACACACACAUAUGCAUAUGAGUGUAUACAAAUGCCUGAACAUAUGUAUUUAUGCAUAUAUAUAUGCACACACACACACACACCUAUAUAUAUAUAUAUAUAUAUAUGUAUGUAUAUAUAUAUAUAUAUAUAUAUAUAUAUAUAUAUAUAUAUAUAUAUAUAUAUAUAUAUAUAUAUAUAUAUAUAUAUAUAUAUAUAUAUAUAUAUAUAUAUAUAUAUAUAUAUAUAUAUAUAUGCUCGUUGUUCUGAAUAUCGUUAGUUUGUUUUAGCCGUAACAACGACCAUAAUGGUGCAGCGCCUUUACUGAGUACAUGUGAGUUUACACACGUACACAUACACACGCACACACACACAUAUACACACACACACAUAUAUAUAUAUAUUUAUGUGUUUAUAUAUAUAUAUAUAUAUAUAUAUAUAUAUAUAUGCGUGUAUAUACAUAGAGAUACGAAUAUAUAUAUAUACACCCACACAUAUAAAUCUGCACAAAUACAUACAUGCCAUGUAUGUAUUUGUGCAUAUGUGUGUGCGCUCGUGUGUGUAUGCAUAUAUUUAUAUAAUGGUGUAGGUUUGUUAUAUGUAUAUAUAUAUACGUAAAUUUAUAAGUAUGUGUACAUCUACUCUAUUUUUAUUCUUUUGCUGAUUUCAGUCAUUGGAUUGCAGCCUUGCUUCAAAUCCUUGAAAUGUUUACCCGUUGGAAUCAACCGAAGUCCUUAAUGUAAAUCCAGCGUUCUGUUUAUGCCGAAGCGCUAAGUCACAGGGACUGGAAGAAAACAAACGUACACCAUUUGUCAAGGGAUGAGAAGCUAACACAAACACAACGACACUCGCGCACGCACGCACACAUACACACACAUGCGUGUAUGCGUGUCUACAUAUGUGAGUGAGUGAGAGUAAAGUGCGUGUGGUCUGUGUGUAUACUCGACCUCAAACUGCCCCGAUAGGAUUCUGAUGACAGAAGACUGAUUGAUUGAUCAAACGACUGAUGAUACAGUCAAUUAGUUGAUUAGUUAAUUAGUAAUUAGUCAACUAGUUGACUGAUAAUAAUAAAAAUAUGUGUGCAUAAUACAUGCACUGUGCGCAUGUAUGUGUAUAUAUAUAUAUAUACAGUUUAUAUACAAAUUUCUGUGUGUGUAUAUAUAUAUAUAUAUAUAUAUAUAUAUAUAUAUAUAUAUAUAAUUAUAUAUACAUUUGUUUGUUUGUUUGUAUGUCUGUCGUUAUUCAGUUUUAUUUCAAGAUUUUUUACCAAAAGAGAAAAGUCCGGCUUCCAACGUAGAUCCGAGGCUCCUUCUCUGGAAUGUCAAUAACCUCAACAGAGUAUGCAUGUCUAUGUGCAAAUUUGUAUGUUUUGUUUCAUGUUUCUAGUCUAAUGCGUAUAGCAUGUUCAUGUAUGUAUGUGUAUUUAUUUAUAAGUCUAUGUAAUGUGUGUGCGUGUGUUUCGCAUCAAGAAUUUAGGAACUACCGAGAGAACGUGAAAUGACAGUUUUUAGCUGAACUUUGCCAUCUCUCUCUCUCUCUCUCUCUCUCUCCCCUCAGUCUGUCUGUCUGUAUCUCUCUCUCUCUCUCUCUGUCUGUCUCUGUCUCUGUCUCUCUCUCUCUCUCUCUCUCUCUCUCUCUCUCUCUCUCUCUCUCUCUGUAGUUGUUACGCUAUUUGCAUAUAGUCACGGACCGGCGAUUCAAUUCGCUUCCAAUUCGGUUCAGGUAUGUGAUAAUCAGUAAAAAUGCACAUCGUACUUGAAUGUCGUUUGAAGCGAGUUGUCUCGCCAGUCUACGACCUUCGGGGUGUCUUAACGUCCCAGUGCUGGGGUUAAUGUUAUCCCUACGGCGCUACAUGGCAGUGGGGAUAACAUAUCCUAUCAUUAUCGAACCGAGGAUUAAACUACGGCCCUUCCAUAGCGUUACCUGCUACCUUGGGUCUUCUGGAUAGCAAUACCUCACAUACACACACACACACACACACACACACACACACAUAUAUAUAUAUAUAUAUAAAACACAAAGACACACAUAUAUAAACACAACAUGUAACCACGUGUGAAUCGUUGGCGAUUUUUCUUCCUCCAUCUCCCUUUCUAUUGAACUUUCCUCUGUUUCUGAUGAAGAGCGUCUGCUCGAAUCGUUAGACCAUCUUUUUUUUCCUUCCCUGAACGUCUGCUAACUCUUUACAUGUACCACGUCCUCGCGUUGUGGUUUUUUUGUGUUCUUUGGGGGGGGGGGAUUUACUAUAUAUAUAUAUAUAUAUAUAUAUAUAUAUACACACAUAACACAUACAUACAAUGAAAAGAAGAGAAAGAAAUUUCUUUAACCGAUCUUUAUGAGUUACGAAUGUUUCCGUACCAUCUCCAUUUGCAACGCCAGUUUACGCGAAAAUUCUCAAAGAAAAAUCCUGUAAUAUUUGCGGUUUUAGGCAUUGGGGUGGCAUUUCCUCAGACUUGCAUCAAAGUCGUGUUAUUACACUGUGCGUCUAUCAGACCUUGUUGUUAGGAAAGCAUCGGGGAAAUAUAUACGUAUAUAUAUGCAACAACAUCUGUAAACAAACUAAAAGCAAUAUAUAUGUGUGCGUGUGUGUGUGUGUGUGCGUGUGUGUGUAUACAUACGCAUAUACAGGUAAAACAUGUAUUUACAUAUAUUCACACACACACUGAAUAGAAUUUUGAGUCAGUUCUCUGUGACACACAGUUUCAUGAGUGUAGGACACAUCCACCUCAUCAGACUUUUCGGGAUGAUACGGACGUGUCCUACUCCCACGAAACUUUAAGUGAUGCAGAUCCAAGUCAAACAGUUAUUAAAUACACGCCCUCCAACCAAAGGUGUUGGCCGCUUCUAUCUAUCCGCUUGUACUCUCUCACUCGUACCUGUCUGUCUAUCUAUCAAUCUAUCUAUCUAUCUAUCUAUCUAUCUAUCUAUCUAUCUAUCUAUCUAUCUAUCUAUCUAUCUAUCUAUCUAUCUAUCUAUCUAUCUAUCUAUCUAUCUAUCUAUCUAUCUAUCUAUCUAUCUAUCAACCUAUCUAUCUUUCUAUCUAUCUAUCUAUCUAUCUAUCUAUCUAUCUAUCUAUCUAUCUAUCUAUCUAUCUAUCUAUCUAUCUAUCUAUCUAUGAGACUAUCUGUUUAUCUAUUCUUUUAGGAACCGCUAAGUAAGGGGGACAUAAAAAAUCAGCAUUAAUUAUCUAGCAGUAGAUUGGACACACACACACACACACACACACACACACACACACACACACACACACACACACAAUGCGAUGGAAGUUGGUUUUUACUAAACUCGGAAAUCCUCCUGUUACAGGAAAUGCUUAUCAACACAUAAAUGUAGACACACGCAAACAUACAUACAUACAUAUAAAAACACAUAUAUACAUAUAUAUAUAUAUAUAUAUAUAUAUAUAUAUAUAUAUAUAUAUAUAUUAUAUAUAUAGGCGCAGGAGUGGCUGUGUGGUAAGUAGCUUGCUAACCAACCACAUGGUUCCGGGUUCAGUCCCGCUGCGUGGCAUCUUGGGCAAGUGUCUUCUGCUAUAGCCCCGGGCCGACCAAAGCCUUGUGAGUGGAUUUGGUAGACGGAAACUGAAAGAAGCCUGUCGUAUAUAUGUAUAUAUAUGUAUGUGUGUGUGUAUGUUUGUGUGUCUGUGUUUGUCCCUCUAGCAUUGCUUGACAACCGAUGCUGGUGUGUUUAUGUCCCCGUUACUUAGCGGUUCGCCACAAGAGACCGAUAGAAUAAGUAUUGGGCUCACAAAAGAAUAAGUCCCGGGGUCGAUUUGCUCGACUAAAGGCGGUGCUCCAGCAUGGCUGCAGUCAAAUGACUGAAACAAGUAAAAGAGUAAAGAGUAAAGAGAUAUAUCCCUCAACAUAUGUAUAAAUACUUAUACGAAGACGCACGCACACACAUACAUAUAUACAUAUAUACACACACACAUAUAGUACCCCUGAAGGAAAGCUUACUGUACUCUUUUCUUUCCAUUUUACUAACACAACACUUACCAAUCAACAUCCGUCUGCUUAGUGACUUUGGUCAUGUGUAUAUGUAUGUAUAUAUGUAUUAUAUAUAUAUAUGUAUAUGUAAUGCUGUAUGCGUGUGUGUACAAGUAUGUUUAUGAGCCUUGUACGAUGAUUGGUGAGUGGUUUGAAUGUAGUAAAACAGGUUACCACAUGUGAUGUUACAAGAUUUUGGUGGUUGCCAUUGUUUGCAUGACUCCCGGCCGGCUGACAUAAUUAAAAAGAAAAAGAAAAAAAGGAACGCAAGAAUCGUUGCCCCGUGGUGCCCGAGAGCACUCUGGAAAUGAACAUAGUUUUAGCUGGUGUAUCGAUCAGACGAAAGGAACUGAGCAAAUGGAUGGGUAUCCCGCCAAAAAGUGUUGGCUGGUGAGAAAACGUGAGAGAAUUGAUAUUUUGAAGAGGAUUGUCGAAGAAUUAAGGCUUUUGAGGUAAAAAUCGAAUGAGCUUGGACAGUAUUUAUAUCCUUAUAGUGAGGUGGGAAGGUCGUGUCCACUACUCUUACAGUAGAGAGAGAGAAAGAGAGAGGGUGGAGGAGGCUAUCGUGACAUCCUGAAACCGGAGCUCUGGCUCUAAUGCCUGCGACGGAAGGACCCCUCCCUCUAAAGGUACUGAAGUGCACAGGAUUCGGGGCACCACACAAAAUGAAAAGCAAUGAAUGGAAGUUAUCAAGAAAUAUAUGAUACUGAAACUGGAGUCGAAUAUUUUUCGAUUCUUUUCGAGGAGAAUCUGAGCAUCGAAGAGCAGCGAACUGGCAGAAUCGUUAGCACACCGGACAAAAUGCUUGGCGGCAUUUCUUCCGUCUUUACGUUCUGAGUUCGAAUUCUGCCGAGGAAUUCGAAGCCGACAUAAAAUGCUUCCACUCCCGGUUAAUAUUAGAAGGUAAUACGGGAAUGUCUUCGGAGUGAAUCGUUAUACACCACUGGGGUGUAUUCUUGCAGCCAUGCAUUCGUCAUUAUCGUCUUUCUGGUGCAAUAAAGAACAACUAUUGAGUGUGAUCUAGCGGCAUAUCUAGAGAGUGUGCCGCCUGGAUUAGCACUUGGGCUUGCCACUCCUCCAUCCCGCUUAUAAAGCAUGUCCAGAAAUAUCACUCCCAUCAAAGCAACGAUCGGGGCCGGCCACCUAAUCGCUUCAGGUCUUGCACUUGUAGGAGAAAGGAUUAUUAUUAUUAUUAUUAUUAUUAUUAUUAUUAUUAUUAUUAUUAUUAUUAUUAUUAUUAUUAUUAUUAUUAUCAUGAAGACACAACAGUUCUCCAGAGAUUUUUAUCUGCUGCCCAAAUAUUGCCACCACAGACACUCGACAAGUAAUUCCCCAACUCGGACCCCCUACUUAUUUACUUCACAAAACAGCAAUGAAGAAGCAAUGGAUAAAAAAUAUUUGCAAAAUCCACCCCCACACCACAAAAACCCCCCAAAACAAAACAAUAGCACAAUAAACUAAAAAAGAAGAAACAAAACUAAACAAAAGCAGAAUGGAAUGAGUUUCUUCAAGAAACAGGAACAAGGCUUUCAGACAUUAACCCGGCAGUCAUCACAAUCCCCCAAUGUAGAUUCUGUAGUGCAAACGUUCAACAAGCCUUAAAAAAAAUAAAAACAAAGAACGGCAACAAAAUAUUCUAGAAGGAAAAAAAGAACGAGUUCCAGUUUUGUAGUUCGACACAAAAACAAGAGAAAACUUGAAACACGAUACAAGAAAACUAUACACAACCGAAAUAAAAGCUCAGCACCAAACAACGGGAGAAAGAUAUCUAAAGAUAAUAAUAGUAAAUAAAUAAAAUGAAAAUUAAAAUCUCUGAAAAUGCAGAAAACUGGUUAAAACUUUGUAUCCGUCACAAACCAUAAGACUAACAGAACCAUACUAUAUAGAGCGAUCGUCAUCAUCAUCAUCAUCAAUAACAGGAAAAGCUCGCAACACACCCCGUGUCAUAAUAACCCCAAAUAAUACACUUGCACUGUAACACAAACUAGAUUAGAAGUCCUUUUCAAACACUUCUCGAAAAUCAGGAACCAAAACCCAGGCGGCGAAACGGACAGGAAUGCAAAACGCAAAACAUGCAACUUUUCCAAGACAACGAUUUUCGUUCGGUCAGAUAUGCAAAAGCGUAAUAAGGAAAUCUGAAUGCUCCAAAGUAGUGGGUCUCAACUAAGGUCCAUAAGAGGGGUUAGGGUCCGUGUCAGAUUUUGUUAAAAUUUAAAUGCAAUAAAUUGGUUAUUCUAACACAAUACAUAAAAUAGUUAAGCAUUUUUAAAUAUAAUUCCUAAUAAUAUUUAAUAUUGGUUUUAGACAUCGAAUGAUUAUGAGGGUCUCAGCCUGAGUAAAAUAGGUAUCGAAAGGGUCGAAAGGUAGGAAACGGCUAAGAACCACCGCUGUAAAGACUCAGGACCAGAGAUAAUUUCAAACAUACACGUAAAUACCUCAAAGAAAUCAUUGUACAUUAUCUGAAACUAUUUCUACCAACAUUGUCGAAUUCCUGGAACGAACUGAUCAAUGGGUAAAAUUACAAAACUGAAAUAAUAGAAUAGAAAACCUCUCAGCCUCUUGUAAACAAAGUCAAAAGGUCCCCCAAUGGUAACUCAUUGACAUCAUUGAUCCACAGAUUCUUUCCCUAUCACACAGAUUCUUUCCCUUCACUGCACUCAACCACAGCCGCCUCGCAAAACUAACCCAGAUGAUAUGAGGGAAAUACAGGAAAAUAAUAAUAAUGGCAUACAAAUCACACUUUCAUUCUAUAUGUUCAAUUCAAAUUUUGGCGCAAUAUCAACAGUUUCAGGCAUGUGUGUGUUGGGGAUACUUUAAUAUAUGCUUACAUCCCCGUAAAUUAGCGGUUCGGCAAAAGAGUUCGAUAGAAUAAGUACCAGCUUAAAAAAAAAAAUAAA